GCUUAUCACCAUUUCAGAUUGAAUAUACCCGAUCUCGUCUGAUCUCGGAAGUCAAGCAAUCUC
rnacentral:rRNA from 1 species